UGAAUUGUGAUUAAAGAAAAAUUAAUGACAUUCAUCAUUGUUUAUGCGGAGAUCAUCAUCUCUGGUGUAAUUGUUUUCAAUGCAGACAACUACAGAAUAAGGAAACGUCAAAUGGGGAAGCUCCAUGUAUUUAUUGCAGCGACACUACAGUUGAAUUUGAUCAUUGGUUCAUGCCAAAAAUUAUUUGAUGUACAUAGUUCAAAUGAUGCUCGAUCCUACAAUUGUACAGCAUGUUCAGUAACCCCCAGGGAAUGGAAUG
rnacentral:lncRNA from 1 species